rnacentral:rRNA from 1 species
UGUACGAUUUAUAAAUUUGUAGUAUUAAAUAAAUGAAUUUUUAUUAUAAGUAAGAAUACUCAUAUAUAAUAAAGGGACGAUAAGACCCUAGAAGCUUCAAUUUGAAGGGUACAUAAUAUAUUUAUAUUUAUAGUUUAUAUAUCUCAAAAUUUUAGUUGGGGAAAUGAGAAUUAUUAAAAUAUUUUUAUACUUUGUUAGAUCUUUUCAAUAAACAAUUUUGGAUUAGUUACUCUAGGGAUAACAGCGUAAUAAUUUUGGGUAGACCAUAUAUAUAAAAUUGAUUGCGACCUCGAUGUUGAAUUAAGAUAUCUUAGUAAAGUAAAAAUUAUUAUAGAAG